CGAACGCUGGCGGCGUGCUUAACACAUGCAAGUCGAACGGAAAGGCCCUUCGGGGUACUCGAGUGGCGAACGGGUGAGUAACACGUGGGUGAUCUGCCCUGCACUUUGGGAUAAGCCUGGGAAACUGGGUCUAAUACCGAAUAUGACCAUGCACUUCCUGGUGUGUGGUGGAAAGCUUUUGCGGUGUGGGAUGGGCCCGCGGCCUAUCAGCUUGUUGGUGGGGUAAUGGCCUACCAAGGCGACGACGGGUAGCCGGCCUGAGAGGGUGACCGGCCACACUGGGACUGAGAUACGGCCCAGACUCCUACGGGAGGCAGCAGUGGGGAAUAUUGCACAAUGGGCGCAAGCCUGAUGCAGCGACGCCGCGUGAGGGAUGACGGCCUUCGGGUUGUAAACCUCUUUCAGCACAGACGAAGCGCAAGUGACGGUAUGUGCAGAAGAAGGACCGGCCAACUACGUGCCAGCAGCCGCGGUAAUACGUAGGGUCCGAGCGUUGUCCGGAAUUACUGGGCGUAAAGAGCUCGUAGGUGGUUUGUCGCGUUGUUCGUGAAAACUCACAGCUUAACUGUGGGCGUGCGGGCGAUACGGGCAGACUUGAGUACUGCAGGGGAGACUGGAAUUCCUGGUGUAGCGGUGGAAUGCGCAGAUAUCAGGAGGAACACCGGUGGCGAAGGCGGGUCUCUGGGCAGUAACUGACGCUGAGGAGCGAAAGCGUGGGGAGCGAACAGGAUUAGAUACCCUGGUAGUCCACGCCGUAAACGGUGGGUACUAGGUGUGGGUUUCCUUCCUUGGGAUCCGUGCCGUAGCUAACGCAUUAAGUACCCCGCCUGGGGAGUACGGCCGCAAGGCUAAAACUCAAAGAAAUUGACGGGGGCCCGCACAAGCGGCGGAGCAUGUGAUUAAUUCGAUGGGACGCGAAGAACAUUACCGGGUUGACAUGCACAGGACGCG
rnacentral:rRNA from 2 species